AUGGCUGUCGUCAGCUCGUGUCGUGAGAUGUUGGGUUAAGUCCCGCAACGAGCGCAACCCUUGUCCUGUGUUGCCAUCAUUUAGUUGGGCACUCUCAGGAGACCGCCAGCGAUAAGCUGGAGGAAGGUGGGGAUGAUGUCAAGUCAUCAUGGCCUUUAUGUCCAGGGCUACACACGUGCUACAAUGGCCGGUACAAAGCGCUGCAAACUCGCAAGAGGGAGCUAAUCGCAAAAAACCGGUCUCAGUUCGGAUCGCAGGCUGCAGCUCGCCUGCGUGAAGCUGGAAUCGCUAGUAAUGCCGUAUCAGAACGAUGGCGUGAAUACGUUCCCGGGCCUUGUACACACCGCCCGUCACAUCACGAAAGUGGAUUGUACUAGAAGUCCUAAUCAAACAGGCCCAAGGUAUGAUUCAUGAUUGGGGUGAAGUCGUAACAAGGUAGCCGUAGGAGAACCUGCGGCUGGAUCACCUCCUUUCUAAGAGAAAGUGGCCAGAGUCACUGAACCGCGAGCGGAAGCAAGCGGAUUCGAGUAAGUGGCAGUCUUUCUGGUCCAUGCUUGAUGAUUUGCUUCGGCAAAUCAUUGGCUGCUUCGGUUUCUCUUUUCUCAAGUCCAAUAAGACGUUUUUCUAUGGGUCGCGAGCUGGUCUUGUGAUCUGCAUCCAAUCGGCCUCGAUUUGAUAUCUUAUGUGUGUAUCAGGGGGCUGUAGCUCAGUUGGGAGAGCGCCUGAUUUGCAUUCAGGAGGUCGCCGGUUCGAUCCCGACCAGCUCCACCAACUAAACGACGGGCCUGUAGCUCAGUUGGCUAGAGCGCACCCCUGAUAAGGGUGAGGCCGAUAGUUCGAUUCUAUCCAGGCCCACCAAACAUAAGAACAGAGACAUUCGUAGGGGCUGGACAUGUCCAGCCCGUGCCGAUGGCUCUGCUGUCGAUUGAUCUUUGAAAUCUGAAUAUUGACGGGCAACAACAAAUGUUGCAUUAGGCUCCCGUGCAGCCAAUAUACGGGAGCCGGUAGCGCAAAUCUAAGAAUCGCCGUCAUUCGACUUCGUCCUGUCAGGGCGGGGAAAGGUGAUGGUGAUCGAGACUACUCUGUGUCUAGAGUAAAUUUUAUGGUCAAGCUACUAAGGGCAUGCGUGUGGAUGCCUUGGCGCAAGUAGGCGAUGAAGGACGUGGCCAGCUGCGAUAAGCCCCGGGAAGGUGCAAGCAACCUGUGAUCCGGGGAUUUCCGAAUGGGGAAACCCGG
rnacentral:sRNA from 1 species